AAAAUAUCGACAGCCCCUUUUCCUCCCCCCUUAACCAAUUUCUUCACAAAAUCCCAUCUUUAUUGAUGAAUCGAUGAAGCAAUUGCAUGAUUGGACUAUUUGGAGGUUAUUCAGCAUUGGAGAGUACUAGUUGAGGUUUCUUAAUGUCCGUCUCAGCACUGCAUCCUUGCGGGUCACUGAGCUCUAUUACCGAUAGGUCAUUCGAAUGGUUAGUUGUGGCAUGUUAGCACUAAAUAUUGUAUUAAAUAACUUCCACUGUAAUUGUAAAUUUAAUGAUUUAAAUAGUUGAGUUUCGAAUGGUUCAGAAAUAUGAAA